rnacentral:rRNA from 1 species
CCUACGGGUGGCAGCAGUGGGGAAUAUUGGGCAAUGGGCGCAAGCCUGACCCAGCAACGCCGCGUGAAGGAAGAAGGCCCUCGGGUUGUAAACCUCUUUUAACAGGGACGAAGAAAGUGACGGUACCUGUUGAAUAAGCCACGGCUAACUACGCGCCAGCAGCCGCGGUAAUACGUAGGUGGCAAGCGUUAUCCGGAUUUAUUGGGGUUAAAGGGUGCGCAGGCGGAGGUGCAAGUCAGCGGGCAAAUUGCGGGGCUCAACCCCGUACUGCCGUUGAAACUGCAUCCCUUGAGUGCGCGAGAGGUAUGCGGAAUGCGUGGUGUAGCGGUGAAAUGCAUAGAUAUCACGCAGAACUCCGAUUGCGAAGGCAGCAUACCGGCGCGCAACUGACGCUCAUGCACGAAAGCGUGGGUAUCGAACAGGAUUAGAUACCCCAGUAGUC